rnacentral:lncRNA from 1 species
UUUUUUUUUUUUUUUUUUUUUUUUUUUUUUUGUCUUUUUGCUGUUUCUUUGGGCCGCUCCCGCGGCAUAUGGAGGUUCCCAGGCUAGGUGUCGAAUCAGAGCUGUAGCCACUGGCCUACGCCAGAGCCACAUCAACGCAGGAUCCGAGCCGCAUCUGCAACCUACACCACAGCUCACGGCAACGCAGGAUCGUUAACCCACUGAGCAGGGGCAGGGACCGAACCCGCAACCUCAUGGUUCUUAGUCGGAUUCGUUAACCACUGCGCCACGACAGGAACUCCUGCUCUGGUUUUUAAAAAAAAGCCACUGAGCUUGCUGUAACAGAUACAUGCAUGCCGUUAAUACUGGUAAUAUGAAUAUUGUAUAGAUUUGCUUGUCCCUACACUGAGUGGUUCCAGAUGGCUGUGAUGUAUAAGAAUGAGGUCAAUAGUGAGAACAGACACAAAAAAACUUUGAAAUAAAACCCAACUCCUAUUUAUUUGGGUAGUAUAUAUGGAUCUAUGUAUGUAUAUAUACAUACACAUGGUGGAUAUAAAAAUAUAUAUGUGUAUAUCACACACAUUUCCUUCACUUUUUUCUGUUGUUGUUGUUUAAGUGUUCAUGGUCUCCUUUCACCCUAUUUGCUCAUCAAGCCUUUCUCUCUAUUGUAGUCUGUUGUCCUCUAGAGGAAAGGGAAGAAAAGAGUAUGCUGACUGCUAUGGGUCCUGAGAAACUCAAACCAGAAAUGGGGCUUCCUCUUACCUGUAGUGUUAGACCCUGUAUAAGGACAGGGAGUACCAGAAGUGUGUGUGUAUGUGUGUGAAAAAACAGAGAAAGAAAUUUAAUAUUUAAUGGUCAACUACUAAGACUGUUAGAGGCACCAGAGCAACAAGAGAUGGGUAUCAGGAUGGACAGAACCAGUAAAGAUACAAGAACCAGGAGAUUAAAAACAGUGAGCUAAAGACAGUCUGGCUAAAUGUGUGACUCUUCAUGACUUUGACUGAUCAUUUAUGUACAAAGAAUAAGUUUGUGUUAAUGGACAUGAACAAUUUAAAGAACCUAGGGGGACAGAGCAGGGUGCAUUUGCCAAUCUGCCUUUUUCUCGAAGAACUCCAGAUUCUCUUUCCCUACAAUUUUCUAUUUAUAGUCUGCUAUAGAUUAGAGAUCUGGAUGAUGAAAUUGUUAUACUGCUGUUCACAUUAAAGAUAAGACAGUUGUGAAUGAAAUUAUGUUUCCAGAAGUGUCUGGGAUUUAGCCCACGAAUGGUUUGAUGCAUACAGAAGUCAUUAUGGCAUGUUCUUUCAGGAGAGCAAGUACUUUCAGAUAUGUAAGUGUCAUAUAUGAUAAGAGUAAAUUGUUAUAUAUAAUUAUUAAAUAUGUUUCUUAUACAGUCUAAGGGGUGUGAAGAAUUAUGAAGCUUUUAUAAUAAAAGUAAAGUAUAAUUUCACAAUUACUUGGAAAUUUUACAUUCAAGAAGUUGUAAAAUAAUGAUAAUGAGAUAUUUCAUUAGGAAGAAUAUAUAUAACUACAUUAAGAAAAAAGUACAUUUAAAAUAGUAACCUUUAUUAAGAAUUUUAUGGAAUUCCUGUCAUGGCUUAGUGGUAACAAACCCACCUAGUGUACACGUAGUGAACAUGAAGAUGCAGGAUCAAUCCCUGGCCUCGCUCGGUGGGUUAAGGAUCCGGCAUUGCCGUGAGAUGUGGUGUAGGUCACAGACAUGGCUUGGAUCCUGUGUUGCUGUGGCUGCAGCAUAGGCCAGUAGCUGCAGCUCCAAUUCUCCUAACUGGGGAACUUCCAAACGCCAGGAGUGCGGCACUUCAAAAAAAAAUAAAAAAAAAAUAAGAAUUUUAUUUACAAAUUACAGCAAACAUGUAAAUAAAUAUUUAUUAGAAUUAAGUAAAAAUAUUAUAAAUACACUAUAAGAGCUCUGUACUGAGAAAUAGGUAAAAUUCAAUAUGUAAAUUAAAAAAUAUCAAUAUUUGAACCCAAAAUUCUUCUGAUAUCUUACUUAAGCCUACCCAUUUUAGGUGAUACUAAUUGAACUAACACUGAUUCAAAUGACACUUUAUUCCUACCCAAUAUUCAUUAACCUUUUCUCUCCUGCUUUGUAGAACAGAGAUGUUGUUUGACAGAGCAAUAUGCUGUUAACAAGCGAUGAAAUCCUGACAGAUCUAAACUAGUCAUGGGGGUUAUUUCCUUCACUUUCUCAGGGUUUGUUUGAACUAGGAAUAUCUUAUUAUUGCUGACCCAGCUAAGGAAGAAAUAAAGUAAGCCUGCUGGAGGGGUUCACUUAGUGGAGAAUUUCGCUGUUCUCAUUAAAGGGACAAAAGGUGUUUGUGACAUUCUUUCUCUAUUAUUUUUUCUUGGAUAUGGGCAUGAUGCCUGGUGAUGUGAUAGCCAUCUUGACAGAAAGCGGGAAAGACUGAGAGGCUGCCAGAGAUACUGGGCUUCAAAUCUGUAUUCGUUUCUUAAAGCUGCAGCAAUAAAUUUACUACAAACUGGGUGGCUUGCUACAACAGCAAUUUAUUCUCUCACAAUUCUAAAGGGCACGAGUCUGAAAUUAAUGUGUCAGCAGAGCCAUGUUUCCACUAAAGGCUUUAAGAGGUAUCCUUCCUUCCACUUCUGGGAGCUCUGAGCAAUCUUUAACCUUCCUUAGGUUGCACAUGCAUCUCUCUAAUCUCUGCCUCCAUCCUCAUAUCACCACUAGUGCUUGAUGCUCUAGCCUUCUGUUCUCCUGUUGGGUAUUGUGGAAGCAUGUGUUGGUAUCAAGGUACCAUAAGAUCAAAGAAGCUGAAAUGCUGAGCUAACACCUAGGGGACAAUUGCUUAGAAAAUUGUCUGCAGAGAAUUUAGCAUAAAGAGGCUGCAUGAAAAUUGGAGGGUUGUUUUAUUUUUUUUAUCAUGGAAAACCUAAUCUGUCUUGAUUCACACACUAUGUUUGAUGGGUAAAGAAGGUGGAGAAGCUCUAAAUAUUUAUAUGUUAAUAUUCUCACAUGCAUCUUCCCAUUUAAUCAUCAAAACAGCCCUGCAGGUAGGUACUACUUUUAUAGCUGCUUGAUAGACAGGGAGACAAUGGCUCAAAGAAGUGAAGCUUCACAAGGGCCAUCAGCUACUAAGGUGGCAGAGGAGGGUCUUAAACUCAGGUCAGAGUCCAUACACCAGGAUUGCACACCCCAUUGCCUCCGACAGUGUUCAUUCACUCACCAGGCGGGGCACUGAACUUGGUCUCCACCAACAUCUCAAUCUUCCUAAGUCUGGUUAGUAGCAGUUUUGUUCAUCCCAAAUGAUCAUUUUCCUAAUUUAACUGAUUUUAUGGAACUUUUCUGCUGGUUAAGAUGAUGUAAGAAAACUAAUUUAAAGAGCAAUCAACCUGUAGUUAACAAUGCUGUAUUAUACACUGGAAAAAAUGGUAAAAGAGUAGAUCUCAUGUUAAACAUCCUUGCUCCAAUAAAAACCAAAAAACAAGAUGAAUUGACUUUCUUGCCAAUAUAAAGAGAUAUUCAAAUGCACAUGUGCAUAUUAUCAUAGUCCAACUUCUCUGUCAAGUACCAAAUAGACACAACAUUUAUUCCAGUUGUUUAUACUGUAUAUUAUUUUUAUUUCCAGAAUGACCUUGUGUGACCGCCUUAUUCAUGGAUUAAAUACAUUCCAGUAGUGUACACAUAACUAAUCUAUGGAAGGCAUGUAAAAUGAGAUUAGUUCAUGCAAAGUGGAGCGCAUUUCAUUUCAGUUCCCCUUCCAAGCUGAUUGGUUUAGCAGAAAUUUUCAUUUGUCCAAACUAUUCCAGUGAUCUAUUCUGCUGACUUCUCUCUCUGUUGCCUUUAGAAGUAGUCACGUUUCCAUUCAAACUAUUCCAACUCUUGUAGUAACCGCACUUCACAAAGCUUUAUGUAACAUCAAGUUCUUGUCCUGAAAAUAAAAGUCUGGUUACAUUCCUUGUGAAUGCCUUCCUUCAUCUGGGUGGAAUUGAAACUUUUCUGUUUUAUCAGUUCAGAUAACCACCAGGUCACACAGAGGCCACAAAGGAAUCAACAGAAAUGCUUGCUGCUCAACACUUUGCUGGCUUCAGCCACUGCCUUUAGAAAGUCAAUAGAAUGUAUUUUCCUGACAUAAGCUACCUACUUUUUAAAUUUCCCUAUGCCUUUCAUACUCAAGAAGCUGUGAUUCAAAAACUAAAUGAAAUUUCCCUGUUUAUGUUAAAAGUCUACUCCAGAUAUUUUCAGUGACUAUUUUGUCUUUUUAAAGUGUAUGGAUUUCAGAUACAGAUAGAUAGGAUUCUAGUCCAUGACCUCUGGUCUCUCAACUUGCUAUUGCUUUUAAUAAAAAUUAGAGCAGUUGGCUCUGUAGCAGUCAGAUUUGAUUGUAGUUCCUGAUAAAGUAAGCCUUUAUCCAUUUAAAUCCUACUUUAAAGGACAUCAGGACAACCAACCUGAAUUUUUAAAAACUAUUAAUGUUCUGAAUGUUCUUACAAAGUAAGAAAAAGAAACAUGUUCCAAAUUUUUCUGACAUAGUAUUAAAGUUGUACUUCAAUAUAAAGCCUUGAGUGGUAUUUGAAGACAUCUGAUUAAAUGCUUACUGGCUUAGGAGUGCUGAGCAUGAAAUUAAAAGUCAGCAGAAAGUAACAAUGAUGACUACCUACUACUAAAGGAAAUGUAAGUGGCUUUACCCUACAGCCCUGCACCAACCUUUUCCUAGUUGUGCAUUUCCACAGAUAUGGAUUCAGCUUUAUUCCUUCGUUAAGUAAAAUAAGUAAGGAUGAUGGCGGUCAGUUGCCUCUAAAAAGGUAAAGCAUUCCUUCCAAAUCCAUAUGAUACCAUGUCUAUGUCCUAGUUUUACCUAUGCUACCAUAGAAAAGACCUAAAACCGAGUGUGGAAUAUUUUGGUCCUAGAAGCCUAGCAAAAACGACUUGUACAUACUUCAUAACAAAAGUUAUGUACUUAUCUCAUCAAUAGGUUAUAAUAUUGGUGUUGCUUAUCAUCUCAAAGAUCCCAAAGAGUCAUGUUUAUAAGAAAGACAAUAAAUCAUAUGAUAUCUGCCAUUCACAAAAAUAAAAUUAUACUUAAUAUAAUGUUAGCAAGGGCUCUUAAUAGGGAAUUUUUUAAAAUUCAGACUUUGAUAUAUGUUUUGGUACGUGAUUGCUGGAUAAAAACUAUUCCAACACAGUUAUUUAAAGCAAAAACAAAUGGAAUAGGAGAAAGUAUUUGUAAACCUUCUGCAUCAUUUGCAAAUAAUUUCUCCCAUUCCAUAGGUUGUUUGCUCAUUUUGUUUAUGGUUUCCUGUACUGUGCUAAUAAAGCUUUUCCAUUUGACUAGGUCCCAUUUGCUUAUUUCUCCUUUUAUUUCUUUUGCCUAGAGUAACUGAUCUAAGAAAAUAUUGCUAUAAUUUAUGUCCAGGAAUGUUUUGAUUUUCUUCUCUUCUAGGAGUUUGUAAUAUCAGGACUUGUAUUUAGGACUUUAAACCAACUGGAGUUUACUUUUGGAUAGGAUGUGAAGGAGUAUUCUAAUUUCAUUGAUUUAUGUGUAGCUGUCCAGCUUUCCCAGUGGCACUUGUUGAAGAGACUGUCUUUUCUCUAUCGUAUAUUCUUGCCUCCUGUAUCAUAGAUUAGUUGAUAUAGGUGUUUGGGUUUAUUUCUGGGAUCUCUAUUCUAUUCCACUGAUUUCUAUGUCUAAUUUUGUACCAAUACCACAUUGUUUUGAUUACUGUAUCUAUGUUGUACAGUCUUAGGUCUGUUGUGAGUCUUAGGCAUCAAGCUUUGUUCUUUUUUCUCAGAAUCACGUUGGGUCUUUGUGAUUCCAUAUAAAUUUUAAGGGUUAUUUGUUUUAGUUCUGUGAAAGAUGGAAUGAGUAUUUUGAUAAUGAAUGCAUUAACUCUGUGGAUUGUUUUAGAUAGUAUGACCAUUUUAACAAAAUUAAUUCUUCCUAUCCAAGAGUGUAGGAUAGCUUUCCAUUUCUUUGAAUCCUCUUUAGCAGUGUUUUAUAGUUUUCAGCUUAUAGAUCUUAAGAAUUCUUGGUUAAGUGUAUUUAUUCCUAGGAUUUUUUUGAACAUUGUUUUAUUUUAUUGAAGUAUAGUUGAUUUACAAUGUUAUGUUAAUUUCUGCUGUACGGCAAGAUGAUUCAGUUAUACAUACAUGUGUGUAUGUGUAUAUAUAUAUAUAUGAAAUACUCCUUUUAAAAAUAUUCCUUUCAAUUAUCAUUUAUUAUAGGAUAUUAAAUAUAGUUCUCUGUGUUGAUUAUCCCUUUCAUGUAUAUUCGCUUACAACUGCUAGCCCCAAAUCCCUACCCUGGUUCCCUCCCCCUUGGCAACCACAAGAUUGUUCUCUAUAUCUGUGAGUCUGCUUCUGUUUUUUAGAAAGGGUCUUUUGUGUUAUUUAUUUAUUUUUUUUUAGAUUCCACAUGUAAGUAAUAGAUUUAAGUCUUUAUGACUUAAAUCACUUAGGAUGAUAAUACCUAGGUCCGCCUAUGUUGCUGAAAAUGGCAUUAUUUCUUUCUUUUUGGCUUAGUGGUAUUCCAUUGUGUAUAACUACCACAUCUUUUUUAUCCAUUCAUUUACCAACGUAUGUUUAGGUUGUCUUGGCUAUUGUGAAUAGAGCUGCAAUGAACAUAAGGGUGCAUGUAUCUUUUUGAAUGAAAGGUUUCUCUGGCUAUAUCCCCAGGAGUGGGAUUGCUGGAUCAUAUGGUAACUUUAUCCUUAGUUUUCUGAGGAAUCUCUGUGCUGCUGUCCAUGAUGGUUGCGCCAGUUUACAUUCCCACCAACAGUGUAAAAGUAUUCCCUUUUCUUCACAACCUUAAGAGAAUAGACCUUAAUUUUUCUCACCAAAGGAGCUGGGGAAAACAGAGAACCAUGUGAGAUGAUGUAUAUGUUAGUUAUCUUGACUGUGAUAAUUAUUUCACUAUGUAUACAUAUUAAAACAUCCUUCAAUAUAUACAAUUUUCUCAAUUAUACUUCAGUAGAACUCAGAAAAGUAAAAAUAGUAGUUCCCAUUGUGGCUCCGUGGUUAAGGACCUGACAUUGUCUCUAUGAGCAUGCAGGUUUGAUCCCUGGCCUUGAUCAGUGGAUUAAGGAUCUGGUGUUGCCACAAGCUGCAGUGUAAGUCAUAGAUGAGCCUUGGAUAUGGUGUUGUCAUGGCUGUAGCAUAGGCCACAGCUGCAGCUCUGAUUUGACCCCUGGCCUGGGAACUUCCACAUAUCACAGGCACAGCUGUAAAAAGAAAAAAACAAACAAAUAAAGUUAUUUCCUCAUGAAUCUUUAAUUGGACAACAUUAUGUCUGGUAUAUUUGCCUCUGUCCUCUAUGGUAUGAGUUGGCCCAAAUGAAGCUGAUAGAUGCUGUUCUAAGUGGCUUACUCACAUAGUAAACAAAUCUUUUAUUGCUGUCACAUGGUAGCUCAGCCAGGGCUGUUGCCUAGAAGCCUAGAUUCUUGCUCACAUGAACCUGUCUGCGGUGCUGCUUUGGCUGUCUCAGAGCAUGGAGACUGAGUUCUAAGAAGGAGAAAGCAGUCUUAGAUGCACUAGUCUUCCUAAAGACGCAGCCUCAACUCAGGUGCAACAUCAUUUCUGCUUAUAUUUUAACUGUCAAAGCAGUCCCAAGCCAGCUAAAGCUCAAGUGGGUGAGGACAUAGACUGCAUUUGAUAAGAGAGUGGCUUGCAUGUGUAGGAAAGGAAUAAAUUGAUACUAGCCAUCUUUGCAUACAAGCCCCCACAUUGUAAUUAAGAGGACAACAGAUUCGAAAGUAGGAAUGAGUGACAUUAGACAUUUUAUUUCUAGUCAGCAUAGUCCACUGUAUUCAUUUCAGGAGAUUUUAUUUUAUUUUAUUUUAUUUUAUUUUAUUUUAUUUUAUUUUAUUUUGUCUUUUUGCCAUUGGGCCGCUCCCGUGGCAUAUGGAGGUUCCCAGGCUAGGGGUCGAAUUGGAGCUAUAGCUGCAAGCCUACUCCAGAGCCACAGCAACGCAGGAUCUGAGCCGCAUCUGCAACCUACACCACAGCUCACGGCAACGCCGGAUCGUUAACCCACUGAGCAAGGCCAGGGAUCGAACCCGCAACCUCAUGGUUCCUAGUCGGAUUCGUUAACCACUGUGCCAUGAUGGGAACUCCCUCAUUUCAGGAGAUUUUAGAAACUCCUUUUCAAUUGUUGACCUAAUCGGUUUUUCCUUUGUAAAUGUUGGUUACUAACGUUUAUUUGAAAUAUAGAGAAGACUGAUGUCAAUCACAAAAGUCUAUCAGACACAGAGGGGGUACUUGAAACCACAGCAUAGCUCUUGAUUAUACUUUCUGAUUUGAUAGUGCUAAGCAAUACCUUAAAAUCUGACUAGCUUUCUGGAUUGUUAUAUUUUUCAAUAGGACUUUAACUAAUAUUAGGUGCUUUUUUUGGGCUAGAGAUUGAAAAAGACUAUUUUGAAAUCACGAUAUAAAAUAAUGACACAGGAAACACAAAAUAGCUGAGUUUGCUCGAUUUUAACUCAGGAUACAAGAAUAAAUGCCUGCAUCCACAAAAGUAAUGUUUUUGCCUAAUUCCUUUAGAGAAUUGCAUCUGAGAGGAUGGUUUCUCUCUAGGCAAGACUAAAAUAACCAUUUUGUGGUGAGGCUACUGCUCUCAGUGUCAACUUGGGUAUUUCAAGCUCAAUGUAAUAUGGUUAGUAGUCUUGAGAGCAUCAUAUCAGAGUUUUUCAACCUUGGCAGUAUUGACAUUUUAGGCUGGAUUAUUUUUGCUAUAGGAGUUUGUUCAGUGCAUUGUAGGAUGAUUAGCAGCAUGUCUGGCCUCUAUCCACUAGAUGCCAAUAGUUUCUCACCAGUCGUGAAACCUAAAAUGCCUCGACAUCGCCAAAUGUUCCCUGGGGUAAAAUUGCCUCCUUUUAAGAACCACUGGGUUUAAUAAAUUUAUAAUUAGAAAAAAUACAUUUCCCUGAAGCAACUUGCCUUAUCUCAGUAGUGUUGUUCUGUCAUCCCUUUCAUAAUUGGAGGUAUCUUCAUGACCUAGAUUUGUCUUCCAUUUAAAUGAAAAAAAAAAAAAA